GAUGAAGAACGUAGCGAAAUGCGAUAAGUAGUGUGAAUUGCAGAAUUCAGUGAAUCAUCGAAUCUUUGAACGCACAUUGCGCCUCCUGGUAUUCCGGGAGGCAUGCCUGUUCGAGCGUCAUUAAAAUCACUCAAGCUUAGGUUUACCUAUUGCUUGGUCUUGGAGAUGGAAGCCAAUUCAUUGGAAUCCUCUUCGAAAUCCAAUGGCGAAGACCCUUGCUCUCCCAAGUGUAGUAAUAACUUAUGUCACUGAAGGAAGCGAGAAAUCUUCCGCCGUAACCCCCAUAUCUUCUAUGAUUGACCUCGGAUCAGGUAGGGAUACCCGCUGAACUUAAGCAUAUCAAUAAGCGGAGGA
rnacentral:misc_RNA from 1 species